rnacentral:rRNA from 1 species
GACGAACGCUGGCGGCGUGCUUAACACAUGCAAGUCGAGCGGGGAGCUUCGGCUCCUAGCGGCGAACGGGUGAGUAACACGUGGGCAACCUGCCUCGAGCUCUGGAAUAACCUCGGGAAACCGGGGCUAAUGCCGGAUAUGACAUCACCGGGCAUCUGGUGGUGUGGAAAGAUUUAUCGGCUCGGGAUGGGCCCGCGGCCUAUCAGCUUGUUGGUGGGGUGAUGGCCUACCAAGGCGACGACGGGUAGCCGGCCUGAGAGGGCGACCGGCCACACUGGGACUGAGACACGGCCCAGACUCCUACGGGAGGCAGCAGUGGGGAAUAUUGCGCAAUGGGCGGAAGCCUGACGCAGCGACGCCGCGUGGGGGAUGACGGCC